AAUCUCGACAGCGCAUUUCGGGAGCCACGGCUCCGGGCGCUUUGCUGGGGGCUAAAGGGGUUUAUCCCUUUCCUUGAAUCCCAGCAGGCUAGAACUACCCCCUCCCAGUCUUCAGGCUUGCCACGCUCUCCACCCGAUCCUUCCAUUGAAAGGCAGAGAAGGAAGGAUGUGCUUGGGAACUUUAAGACCCACGAACGACAGCGCACUGAUGGAGCAGCCCAGUGUCUGGGGCAAAGUCCUCGAGGUUCAUUCAUUCAGGAAGCCUCUGACCAGCCUUUACCAUGCGCUGAGUGAGAAGCUGAGGAUAAGGAAAGAGCAAGACCCCCAAGAAACCCUGAUGUCUGGCUGAAAGCCGAAGCAUGACGCAACUUUGCUAUAUUUCUCUCCAACAAGGAUUUGUAUAUUUUCGCUUUCUCCUCAAGUAACACCUGGACCUGCUCCUUUCCCUUCAAACGCUGAGGGCUCAGUCUCCAAGUUCCUUUAUGAAACAGGGUGUACCAUCAGAGACGCAGGUAUUUAUUGAAACCUGCUUUGUGCUGGGCAAUGUGCCAGAUGUUGGGGAUAAAAUGGAGACUUCAGAAAUGAAGAUGCAAAGACAACAGGGGAAACCAUAUAUGUUUAUGGACAGUCAUGCCAAAGUAUGAUUGGAAGACAAAAAGGAAAAACACACAUUGUAAAAUAAGAAUUCUUCAAAGACAACUUGAAGACAUCUGGGAAUUCUGAAGCCUGAAAAUUCCAUGAGUUCAUAGCAGUGUUCACUAAUUCCACUGAUCUAAAGACAAAAAGGAGAGUCAACUGCGUGCCCAAACUCAUUUCUGAUGAUUUCUUCCAUCCUAACUUUUCUGCCUCUCUGGGGGUGGUUAUGCCUGUGAAAAACAUUGAAGCUGUCAGGAACAGAGUCGGCUUUCAAGAUUGGAAUGUCAAAGUAGAGUCUUCUUUUCCUCAGACCAGAAGGGGCUUGGUUGGGUAAGAGUUUCCAGAUCUAAAUGGAGACAGGACUGGGAUAUAGGAGCUUGUACGGAUAAACAACACAAACACCUUGGGUAUCAGCCCAAGAAAAAUAAAAAACAUAUGUCUGCUACACAGACUGCUUGUCUACCUAUGUAUCAACACUUGUUGAACAUAAUGUGAAUGAAUCUCAAAAAUAUUUUGCUGAGUAAAAGUGCCCAAUCCCCAAAAACUACACAUCAUAUGACUCAAUUUGUUUGAAGAUCUAAAACAGAUUUUAUGGUGUUAUUAUUGAGAUUCAUAUAAUACAGCCUAUUCAAUUGGACAAUUGGAAUAUUGUUAUACACAGUUAAUCAACAGACUCUGUAUAAGUGAUAAGGCCUCAGAGAAGAAGAAUAUUAGAGCUCAACUCCAGCACGAUGAGUCGUUAACACCCUUGGGAAUGUAUAGCUGUUAAACAAAACAAGGAGACCAUAUUGCCCUGUGAAUUCAAAGGGAUCUAAUGGGAAUUUCAGAGUAAAUUUAUUUUAAGGUAUGUAGGAAGCCUAAUCAUUUAAAGUGCUUUUUCUAUUCCGAAGCAACUCAUCCCACCACAUCUUUUCAUU
rnacentral:lncRNA from 1 species